rnacentral:rRNA from 1 species
CCUACGGGAGGCAGCAGUAGGGAAUCUUGCGCAAUGGGCGAAAGCCUGACGCAGCCAUGCCGCGUGAAUGAUGAAGGUCUUAGGAUUGUAAAAUUCUUUCACCGGGGACGAUAAUGACGGUACCCGGAGAAGAAGCCCCGGCUAACUUCGUGCCAGCAGCCGCGGUAAUACGAAGGGGGCUAGCGUUGCUCGGAAUUACUGGGCGUAAAGGGAGCGUAGGCGGAUAGUUUAGUCAGGGGUGAAAGCCCAGGGCUCAACCUUGGAAUUGCCUUUGAUACUGGCUAUCUUGAGUAUGGAAGAGGUAUGUGGAACUCCGAGUGUAGAGGUGAAAUUCGUAGAUAUUCGGAAGAACACCAGUGGCGAAGGCGACAUACUGGUCCAUUACUGACGCUGAGGCUCGAAAGCGUGGGGAGCAAACAGGAUUAGAUACCCUGGUAGUCCACGCCGUAAACGAUGAGUGCUAGUUGUCGGC